CUUGGCGGUAUUGACUCGUAGGUACGUCGAUGAUGGUAAUUCUCAAAAAUGAAAUAGUGCUCCGUGAAGAGGUUCCUGAUGAAGUGAGACCCUCGAUGAUGGAUAUGAACUCGUUGAUCAAUUUGUUAUCACUCCGUAAAGUAAUAUUACAAUUUUGUUCCUUUUUUUUUUUUUUUUUUUUUUUUUUUUUUUUAUUUCGCAAAAUUAAAUCCCAACGGUAAUGACAAAUCCCACCGCUGUCACCAGUUGUUAUGUCCUGCGAGGUUACUAGAUUCGCCGAUGAUGACACCUCGUGAACAAGUGGGUUGUUUAUUGUCACGCGGGAUUUUAUUUUAUAAUUUAAUUUGAAAUAUACUUAAAAAUGACUGAUUGAGAUUGUGUGGCAAGGUAUGAUUUUAAAUGAUAAGAGUUCAAUUGAACUUAAUGUUGAUGUUUAUUUAGAAAUCGGAGAGAUGGAGUGAAUAGUUACAGCUCUCGGGGAGAAGUGAAGUCACAAAGUCUCAACUCUGACUGCUCAGCUUCACGUUCCCCCACUAUGGUUACACGUAUACACCUAUACUAUUGCUAGAACUACCCUUAUACAUAGUGCGUAAUAUACUAUCUUACAUGUACUUAUAUAAACUUAUUUAUAUAUAACACUUAUUAUUUGCGGCUGCGGCCGGCUUACAUAUUCAUGUACCUGUAUUUACCUGGCUUUAAAUUCAGCACAGCGACCUAGGGAAACCGCAGAAAACCUGGUCGAGGCUUUUAAGGUAUUAUCUGCUCAAUAAAUUAUAUCAGAUGCGGAA